GAGGACAAAUAAAUCUUGAUUAUCCAUAUUUAUUUGUAAUGAAAAAUAGGAGAGAAACGGUAUAUGUUAAUAAAAAAAUGAGUGGGAAUAAUGUAAAAGUGAAGGAAGGAAAUACUUAAUUUAUGGAUUUUAUACUCCCGCGCGUAUUUUAACACUUAUUUGAAAAGAAAAGUUAUUUUAAAAUUAAAUAGAGAAAUAAUUUGUAUUUUAAUAAUUAUUUGAAAAGAAAAGAUAUUUUGAAAUUAAAUAGAAAUAUUUUUUUUCCACCCGUUAUCUGUUAGUGAAAAAAUUAAAUUAAAUUAUUAAAUAGGGAAAU
rnacentral:lncRNA from 1 species